GAUGAAUGCUGGCGGCGUGCCUAACACAUGCAAGUCGAGCGGCAGCGAGGGGUGCUUGCACCCUGUCGGCGAGCGGCGGACGGCUGAGUAACGCGUGGGAAUCUACCCUAAAGUGAGGGAUAACCGCCCGAAAGGGUGGCUAAUACCGCAUAUGAUCUUCGGAUUAAAGGAUUUAUCCGCUUUAGGAAGAGCCCGCGUUAGAUUAGGUAGUUGGUAGGGUAAUGGCCUACCAAGCCAACGAUCUAUAGCUGGUCUGAGAGGAUGAUCAGCCAGACUGGAACUGAGACACGGUCCAGACUCCUACGGGAGGCAGCAGUGAGGAAUCUUCCACAAUGGGCGAAAGCCUGAUGGAGCAACGCCGCGUGAAGGAUGAAGGCCUUCGGGUUGUAAACUUCUUUUAUGAGUGAAGAAUAUGACGGUAACUCAUGAAUAAGCACCGGCUAACUACGUGCCAGCAGCCGCGGUCAUACGUAGGGUGCAAGCAUUAUCCGGAGUGACUGGGCGUAAAGAGUUGCGUAGGCGGUUUAAUAAGUGAAUAGUGAAACCUGGUGGCUCAACCAUACAGACUAUUAUUCAAACUGUUAAACUCGAGAGUGGUAGAGGUAACUGGAAUUUCUAGUGUAGGAGUGAAAUCCGUAGAUAUUAGAAAGGAACGCCAAUGGCGUAGGCAGGUUACUGGACCAUUUCUGACGCUAAGGCACGAAAGCGUGGGGAGCGAACUGGAUUAGAUACCCAGGUAGUCCACGCCGUAAACGAUGGAUACUAGCUGUUGGAGGUAUCGACCCCUUCAGUAGCGAAGCUAACGCGUUAAGUAUCCCGCCUGUGGAGUACGGCCGCAAGGCUAAAACAUAAAGGAAUUGACGGGGACCCGCACAAGCGGUGGAUCAUGUUCUUUAAUUCGAUGAUAAACGAAGAACCUUACCAGGGUUUGACAUCCCGAGAAGAUUUACGAAAGUAAAUUGUGCCUUUUGGAACUCGGUGACAGAUGAUGCAUGGCCGUCGUCAGCUCGUGUCGUGAGAUGUUUGGUUAAGUCCAUCAACGAGCGCAACCCUUGUGAAUAGUUGAAUUUUUCUAUUCAGACUGCCCCGGCAACGGGGAGGAGGGGAUGAUGUCAGGUCAGUAUUUCUCUUACAUCCUGGGCUAGAAACGUGAUACAAUGGCAAGUACAAUGCGCAGCGAAGCCGCGAGGUGAAGCAAAUCGCACCAAAGCUUGUCCCAGUUCGGAUUGGAGGCUGAAACUCGCCUCCAUGAAGUCGGAAUCGCUAGUAAUCGCAGGUCAGCAAACUGCGGUGAAUACGUUCCCGGGUCU
rnacentral:rRNA from 1 species